rnacentral:rRNA from 1 species
CCUACGGGUGGCAGCAGUGAGGAAUAUUGGUCAAUGGGCGAGAGCCUGAACCAGCCAAGUCGCGUGAGGGAGUACUGCCCUAUGGGUUGUAAACCUCUUUUGUCGGGGAGCAAAAGCCGGACGUGUCCGGCUGUGAGAGUACCCGAAGAAAAAGCAUCGGCUAACUCCGUGCCAGCAGCCGCGGUAAUACGGAGGAUGCGAGCGUUAUCCGGAUUUAUUGGGUUUAAAGGGUGCGCAGGCGGAUUGUUAAGUCAGCGGUAAAAUCGUGGGGCUCAACCCCAUCCAGCCGUUGAAACUGGGGAUCUAGAGUGUGCGAGAGGUAUGCGGAAUGCGUGGUGUAGCGGUGAAAUGCAUAGAUAUCACGCAGAACCCCGAUUGCGAAGGCAGCAUACCGGUGCACAACUGACGCUCAGGCACGAAAGCGUGGGUAUCGAACAGGAUUAGAUACCCCUGUAGUC